rnacentral:rRNA from 1 species
CGAAUGCUGACAUAAGUAACGAUAAAGCGGGUGAAAAGCCCGCUCGCCGGAAGACCAAGGGUUCCUGUCCAACGUUAAUCGGGGCAGGGUGAGUCGACCCCUAAGGCGAGGCCGAAAGGCGUAGUCGAUGGGAAACAGGUUAAUAUUCCUGUACUUGGUGUUACUGCGAAGGGGGGACGGAGAAGGCUAUGUUGGCCGGGCGACGGUUGUCCCGGUUUAAGCGUGUAGGCUGGUUUUCCAGGCAAAUCCGGAAAAUCAAGGCUGAGGCGUGAUGACGAGGCACUACGGUGCUGAAGCAACAAAUGCCCUGCUUCCAGGAAAAGCCUCUAAGCAUCAGGUAACAUCAAAUCGUACCCCAAACCGACACAGGUGGUCAGGUAGAGAAUACCAAGGCGCUUGAGAGAACUCGGGUGAAGGAACUAGGCAAAAUGGUGCCGUAACUUCGGGAGAAGGCACGCUGAUAUGUAGGUGAAGCGACUUGCUCGUGGAGCUGAAAUCAGUCGAAGAUACCAGCUGGCUGCAACUGUUUAUUAAAAACACAGCACUGUGCAAACACGAAAGUGGACGUAUACGGUGUGACGCCUGCCCGGUGCCGGAAGGUUAAUUGAUGGGGUUAGCGGUAACGCGAAGCUCUUGAUCGAAGCCCCGGUAAACGGCGGCCGUAACUAUAACGGUCCUAAGGUAGCGAAAUUCCUUGUCGGGUAAGUUCCGACCUGCACGAAUGGCGUAAUGAUGGCCAGGCUGUCUCCACCCGAGACUCAGUGAAAUUGAACUCGCUGUGAAGAUGCAGUGUACCCGCGGCAAGACGGAAAGACCCCGUGAACCUUUACUAUAGCUUGACACUGAACAUUGAGCCUUGAUGUGUAGGAUAGGUGGGAGGCUUUGAAGUGUGGACGCCAGUCUGCAUGGAGCCGACCUUGAAAUACCACCCUUUAAUGUUUGAUGUUCUAACGUUGGCCCCUGAUCGGGGUUGCGGACAGUGUCUGGUGGGUAGUUUGACUGGGGCGGUCUCCUCCUAAAGAGUAACGGAGGAGCACGAAGGUUGGCUAAUCCUGGUCGGACAUCAGGAGGUUAGUGCAAUGGCAUAAGCCAGCUUGACUGCGAGCGUGACGGCGCGAGCAGGUGCGAAAGCAGGUCAUAGUGAUCCGGUGGUUCUGAAUGGAAGGGCCAUCGCUCAACGGAUAAAAGGUACUCCGGGGAUAACAGGCUGAUACCGCCCAAGAGUUCAUAUCGACGGCGGUGUUUGGCACCUCGAUGUCGGCUCAUCACAUCCUGGGGCUGAAGUAGGUCCCAAGGGUAUGGCUGUUCGCCAUUUAAAGUGGUACGCGAGCUGGGUUUAGAACGUCGUGAGACAGUUCGGUCCCUAUCUGCCGUGGGCGCUGGAGAACUGAGGGGGGCUGCUCCUAGUACGAGAGGACCGGAGUGGACGCAUCACUGGUGUUCGGGUUGUCAUGCCAAUGGCACUGCCCGGUAGCUAAAUGCGGAAGAGAUAAGUGCUGAAAGCAUCUAA